AUAUGGCUCAGGACGAACGCUGGCGGCGUGCCUAAUACAUGCAAGUAGAACGCUGAAGGAGGAGCUUGCGUCUCUGGAUGAGUUGCGAACGGGUGAGUAACGCGUAGGUAACCUGCCUGGUAGCGGGGGAUAACUAUUGGAAACGAUAGCUAAUACCGCAUAAUAGUAGAUGUUGCAUGACAUUUGCUUAAAAGGUAGCAAUUGCAUCACUACCAGAUGGACCUGCGUUG
rnacentral:rRNA from 1 species